rnacentral:rRNA from 1 species
GAUGAACGCUAGCGGGAGGCCUAACACAUGCAAGCCGAGCGGUAUUGUUUCUUCGGAAAUGAGAGAGCGGCGUACGGGUGCGUAACACGUGUGCAACCUGCCUUUAUCUGGGGGAUAGCCUUUCGAAAGGAAGAUUAAUACUCCAUAAUAUAUUGAACGGCAUCGUUUAAUAUUGAAAGCUCCGGCGGAUAGAGAUGGGCACGCGCAAGAUUAGCUAGUUGGUGAGGUAACGGCUCACCAAGGCGAUGAUCUUUAGGGGGCAUGAGAGGGUGAUCCCCCACACUGGUACUGGGACACGGACCAGACUCCUACGGGAGGCAGCAGUGAGGAAUAUUGGUCAAUGGGUGCAAGCCUGAACCAGCCAUCCCGCGUGAAGGACGACUGCCCUAUGGGUUGUAAACUUCUUUUGUAUAGGGAUAAACCUACCCUCGUGAGGGUAGCUGAAGGUACUAUACGAAUAAGCACCGGCUAACUCCGUGCCAGCCGCCGCCGUAAAAC